UACGUAGGGUGCAAGCGUUGUCCGGAAUUAUUGGGCGUAAAGAGCUCGUAGGCGGUCUGUCGCGUCUGCUGUGAAAACUCAGGGCUUAACCCUGAGCUUGCAGUGGGUACGGGCAGACUAGAGUGCGGUAGGGGAGACUGGAAUUCCUGGUGUAGCGGUGAAAUGCGCAGAUAUCAGGAGGAACACCGGUGGCGAAGGCGGGUCUCUGGGCCGUAA
rnacentral:rRNA from 1 species